rnacentral:tRNA from 1 species
GCCUGGCUAGCUCAGUUGGUAGAGCAUGAGACUCUUAAUCUCAGGGUCAUGGGUUUGUUACCCAUGUUGGGUG